rnacentral:rRNA from 1 species
GACGGUGUCGAUGGCGGUGAGGAUCCACCUGUUCCCAUCCCGAACACAGAAGUUAAGCUCACCAGUGUCGACAAUACUUGGCUGGCGACGGCCCGGGAAGAUAGAGCGACGCCGUCU